AUUGAACGCUGGCGGCAGGCCUAACACAUGCAAGUCGAGCGGAUGACAGGAGCUUGCUCCUGGAUUCAGCGGCGGACGGGUGAGUAAUGCCUAGGAAUCUGCCUGGUAGUGGGGGACAACGUUUCGAAAGGAACGCUAAUACCGCAUACGUCCUACGGGAGAAAGCAGGGGACCUUCGGGCCUUGCGCUAUCAGAUGAGCCUAGGUCGGAUUAGCUAGUUUGUGAGGUAAUGGCUCACCAAGGCGACGAUCCGUAACUGGUCUGAGAGGAUGAUCAGUCACACUGGAACUGAGACACGGUCCAGACUCCUACAGGAGGCAGCAGUGGGGAAUAUUGGACAAUGGGCGAAAGCCUGAUCCAGCCAUGCCGCGUGUGUGAAGAAGGUCUUCGGAUUGUAAAGCACUUUAAGUUGGGAGGAAGGGUUGUUGAUUAAUACUCUGCAAUUUUGACGUUACCGACAGAAUAAGCACCGGCUAACUCUGUGCCAGCCGCCGCGGUAAAAC
rnacentral:rRNA from 1 species